GCUCCUCCCCCUUCUAGACCCGCUCCACCUGCCCCUGAACUUACAUCUGCCGCUCUCCCCGCAGCAGUUCCUCCUCCGGCUAAGGCGGGAUUCUCUGACCUUUUCUCCGCCCCGCCGGAUCCAGAUUUGGAGGCAGAUAUUCCUAUUUCUAUAUCUUGUGGAAGUCUGGUCAGCAUUGUUUCAGGUGAGGAGACCCCCGCCCCGACAAAGCCUCCCCUACCAGUAGCCGGCUCUCUGGACUUUCCGGACGACGACAAUGAACCAUUGUCAGAGACUGGAAAAUCCUGGGUGUCUGUGGGCGGUGUAGACCAGAAAAUAGACGACCUCUCUCCGGUUGAGAAACCCCGGUCUC